UACGUAGGGGGCAAGCGUUGUCCGGAUUUAUUGGGCGUAAAGAGCGUGUAGGCGGCUUGGUAGGUCCGCUGUGAAAACUCGAGGCUCAACCUCGAGAUGUCGGCGGAAACCACUUGGCUAGAGUCCGGAAGAGGAGAGUGGAAUUCCCGGUGUAGCGGUGAAAUGCGCAGAUAUCGUAAGGAAGACCAGUGGCGAAGGCGGGUCUCUGGACAGUUCCUGACGCUGAGGCACGAAGGCCAGGGGAGCAAACGGG
rnacentral:rRNA from 1 species